GCAUAUGGUGCUCUCCUUUGGUGCUAUUUGGCUCCAGUGUCUUUGGAGUCUGAGGAGGUUUGGCCUUUAAAAAUCAAACUGCCACCGGAACUGCUUUAAAAAUGUUUGGUUCACAGCCUUCACUGGAUUACCUAUUGGAGCAAACAAAGUGUAACCAUGUAAAACCUGUGAGCUUGUAUUGAUAUCUCAUGGCUAGAGUUCCAAGUUGCAGGAAUUUAGCCAAUUCAGAGGUCUUGUUCUCCAUAAUUUGGAAUUUUCCUUCGGAUUUGAUCAAGUUGGAUAGAGUUGGUCAAACCCAAUGGGAAAAAGAUGAAAACAACAAGAAACAGAAACAAACAGCAACAACAACAACAACAAAAACAGUUAAGUGAAACAAACAAACAAUCACACAAUUUAUGUGGUCACUGAGUGCUCUAAUAGUAAGGAGAAAUUAAGACCAGCUGGCUGUUAGUCUUAACUCUAGCCAAGACAAAACUCCAAUUCAGCUACUUACCUAGUAAUGAGUCUCAGGCUGAAGUCUGCUC
rnacentral:lncRNA from 1 species